GAUGAACGCUAGCGGCAGGCCUAACACAUGCAAGUCGAGCGGGAUUAGUUAAUAGCUUGCUAUUGACUAUGAGAGCGGCGCACGGGUGCGUAACGCGUAUGCAACCUGCCCUUUGCUGAGGGAUAGCCCGGAGAAAUCCGGAUUAACACCUCAUAGUAUUUAUGACUGGCAUCAGUUUUAAAUUAAAGGUUACGGCAAAGGAUGGGCAUGCGUCCUAUUAGCUAGAUGGUAAGGUAAUGGCUUACCAUGGCGACGAUAGGUAGGGGGCCUGAGAGGGUGGUCCCCCACACUGGUACUGAGACACGGACCAGACUCCUACGGGAGGCAGCAGUGAGGAAUAUUGGUCAAUGGGCGGAAGCCUGAACCAGCCAUGCCGCGUGCAGGAAGACGGUCCUAUGGAUUGUAAACUGCUUUUAUUUGGGAAUAAACCUCCUUACGAGUAGGGAGCUGAAGGUACCAAAUGAAUAAGCACCGGCUAACUCCGUGCCAGCCGCCGCUGUAAAAC
rnacentral:rRNA from 1 species